ACACUCAUUCCACAGCUCUCCUAUUCUGCACCUCAGGAGGGAACUCAGCCUCAGUGAUGUCCAUGAGGCCUGUCCCAGGCUCUCUAUCAUCUCUACUCCAUCUCCACAACAGACAGAGGCAGCCCAUGCCGGCCUCCAUGCCUGGAACCCUGCCCAACCCCACCAUGCCAGGAUCUUCUGCCGUCUUGAUGCCUAUGGAGAGACAGAUGUCAGUGAACUCCAGCAUCAUGGGCAUGCAAGGUCCAAACCUCAGCAACCCCUGUGCUUCUCCCCAAGUCCAGCCAAUGCAUUCAGAAGCCAAAAUGAGACUGAAGGCUGCGCUGACUCACCAUCCUGCCGCCAUGUCGAACGGGAACAUGAGCACCAUCGGACACAUGAUGGAGAUGAUGGGCUCCCGGCAAGACCAGACACCGCACCACCACCUGCACUCACACCCGCAUCAGCACCAGACACUGCCGCCCCACCACCCCUACCCACACCAGCACCAGCACCCCGCACACCAUCCCCACCCACAGCCUCACCACCAGCAGAACCACCCGCACCACCACUCCCAUUCCCACCUUCACGCACACCCGGCGCACCACCAGACCUCGCCACACCCACCCCUGCCCACCGGCAACCAAGCACAGGUAGACUUUCGCCUGCAUCUCUUUCUUCCUCCCGGCCUUGUUAAUGGAAAAAGCACUAACUCCGCAGUCAUCUGUUGCUACCUUGUUUAAUAAGCCUAGGGACAUUCUAAAGGAGCUCUGUGCAUUUCCUAGGAGGUGAUUGUGAACUGUCAGACAGGAUUGGCUCAUAGGUUCUAUAAACAAUAGAAGAAAAUUGCAGCUUCAAUCGCUAGGAGCAAAUGAAAGCUGUAAGCUCUCCAAAACCUAUAUUUUUGCAGGCAUGUCAUAAAGUUUGUCCUAAGAAAUAGAUAAUACUGAUAGGAGGAUUAAGAGAAACUUGAGCUCAUGGUGAAAGAUGUGAACAGUUGAACUGACAGCUAAGAAGCUGAAGAGGAUCAGUCCCUGCAGAUGAAGGUCAUCAAGGAGUGCAAGGGAAGGGGCCCAAGGUGCUGGAGAGAUGGUGAGAGCUGACACAUCCCUGAGUGUGCAACAUCUUGGGGGAGGCAGAGAGGCAGCCAAGCUCUGCAGAUGACCAGACUAAGAGAAAGGUCAAAUCCCAGGGGUAGAGAGUCACCAUGGCUAGCCAGGAAGAGAACAAGCAUGCAGAGUGCACUUAGAGAGAGUGGAGGACCAGGCAGACGUUAUGUCACCCAGACUAAGAAGACAAGCAAGGCCCUGGACAGGAUGGGUUUUCCUAAGUAGAUGGACGACAGGACCAAGAGUGUGGUGAGCCCUGGUCACUUUGGGGCUUCGAGCAAGAUGACUUUCACUAGUCCUCUCCACCCAGAUCCUACUGUCCAGCCCCAACCCGCUGGGUCAGAAUGGCGUCGGAAGCUAAGGUCUGCCAAGGAGUGCUUAUUAGCGCUCUCCUUUGCUUUCUGCCUCUGGAGCCAAGAUCUGAGACCAAGUGAUGCUUUGAGCUCUAGAGUUCCCUGCCCUAACAAACGAGGUAAGGAAAGAGCACAGAGGUGAGGACAGCCACAGGCAGCCAAACCUGUCCGUUAGAUUAAUUCACCUUUGCAAAGAUCCUCAGUGGCACUCUACCUAGCAAGAAGAGUUGAGCUGUGCAGU
rnacentral:lncRNA from 1 species